rnacentral:lncRNA from 1 species
UAUCAUAAUUUUAUAAUUAAAUAAAUUAUCUGAUAGUCAAGUCGUUGAUUGUAAACAUUCAAACAUAGAGAAGUAUGUCAGAUCGUUGGCACUAACCAUUAAUCCUAAAGGCUCGAGCUGUUCUUAAAACGUACAGAUAUAGCGUCCACGGGUCUCAAUUGUGACUCAGUCCACUCGGCCUCAUGCCAUUUCAAAUAUGAUUCGGCCUAUCCAGCCUCACACCAUUUCGAACGUGACUCGGCGUAACAUGGUCUCCCGCCACAGGGCAGGAUGCUGGCCCAUUUAAGCCAACAAUCCCCCUCCAGCAUCUGCACAUAUUGGCAGCAUGCAGAAAUUGAACCGUGAUCUCUGGCUCUGAUAUCACUUGUCGGAUCGUUAACGCUAAUUAUUAAUUCCAAAAGUUCGAGCUGUUAGGAAUACGCAACCAAUUCACUUUAAGCGUACAGAUACAGAGUCCACGGGUCUUAAUUGUGACUCGGCCCACCCGGCCUCACGCUAUUUCAAAAAUGAUUCGACCUACCCAGCUUCAUGCCAUUUCGAAUGUGACUUGGCCCAACAUGGUCUCAAGCCACAGGACAGGAUGUUGGUCCAUUUAAACUAACAAACUACUAUGUUCAUAUAUAAAUCUUAUAAAACUUCACAUAUUUGGAAAUUUAAUUGACAAAAAUA